rnacentral:rRNA from 3 species
GACAGAGGGGGCAAGCGUUGCUCGGAAUCACUGGGCGUAAAGGGCGCGUAGGCGGGACGCCAAGUCGGUCGUGAAAUCUCCGGGCUCAACCCGGAGGAGUCGGCCGAAACUGGUGUUCUUGAGGGAGGCAGAGGAGUCUGGAAUUCCCGGUGUAGCGGUGAAAUGUGUAGAGAUCGGGAGGAACACCGGUGGCGAAGGCGGGACUCUGGGCCUACCCUGACGCUGAGGCGCGAAGGCGUGGGGAGCAAACGGG